rnacentral:rRNA from 1 species
GACGAACGCUGGCGGCGUGCUUAACACAUGCAAGUCGAACGGAAAGGCCCUGCUUUGGUGGGGUGCUCGAGUGGCGAACGGGUGAGUAACACGUGAGUAACCUGCCCUUGACUUUGGGAUAACUUCAGGAAACUGGGGCUAAUACCGGAUAGGAGCUCCUGCUGCAUGGUGGGGGUUGGAAAGUUUUGGCGGUUGGGGAUGGACUCGCGGCUUAUCAGCUUGUUGGUGGGGUAGUGGCUUACCAAGGCUUUGACGGGUAGCCGGCCUGAGAGGGUGACCGGCCACAUUGGGACUGAGAUACGGCCCAGACUCCUACGGGAGGCAGCAGUGGGGAAUAUUGCACAAUGGGCGGAAGCCUGAUGCAGCAACGCCGCGUGCGGGAUGACGGCCUUCGGGUUGUAAACCGCUUUCGCCUGUGACGAAGCGUGAGUGACGGUAAUGGGUAAAGAAGCACCGGCUAACUACGUG